UCUGGAAUAGCUCAACUGGUAAACCAUGAGACUCUCAAGCUCAGAAUUGUGGGUUCGAGCCCCACAUUGGGCAAAA